rnacentral:rRNA from 1 species
UCUCUCAUCCGAUUACAGAUAGAUCCUGGCUCAGGACGAUCUCUCGCCGCGUGCUUAACACAUGCAAGUCGAACGAUGAAGCCCAGCUUGCUGGGUGGAAGAGUGGCGAACGGGUGAGUAACACGUGAGUAACCUGCCCUUCACUCUGGGAUAAGCACUGGAAACGGUGUCUAAUACUGGAUACGACCCUUAUAGGCAUCUGUUGGGGGUGGAAAGAUUUAUCGGUGAAGGAUGGGCUCGCGGCCUAUCAGGUUGUUGGUGAGGUAACGGCUCACCAAGCCUACGACGGGUAGCCGGCCUGAGAGGGUGACCGGCCACACUGGGACUGAGACACGGCCCAGACUCCUACGGGAGGCAGCAGUGGGGAAUAUUGCACAAUGGGCGCAAGCCUGAUGCAGCAACGCCGCGUGAGGGAUGACGGCCUUUCGGGUUGUAAACCUCUUUUAGUAGGGAAGAAGCGUAAGUGACGGGUACCUGCAGAAAAAGCACCGGCUAACUACGUGCCAGCAGCCGCGGUAAUACGUAGGGGUGCAAGCGUUGUUCCGGAAUUAUUGGGGCGUUAAGGAGCUCGUAGGGCGGCUUGUCCGCGGUCUGGCCGUGAAAGCCCCGGAAGCUUCAACUUCCGUC